rnacentral:misc_RNA from 1 species
AAGUCGUAACAAGGUAUCCGUAGGUGAACCUGCGGAUGGAUCAUUACCAAAGGAUUUUUUAUCCCAAGGUCUUGUGAACUGUAUUGAACAACACGGUCAGAGGUCUUUGACUUCUGACUGUACACUAAACUUUAUACCCUCAACUUACAUCAAAAUCAUAAACAAUUACAACUUUUAGCAAUGGAUCUCUUGGCUCUC